GGAUGCAACACUGAUGGUCUGUCACGAGCACACUGCCUGGCGUCCCAAGUUGCCCAACUCUAUGGUGUUGAGCAGAUGGUGGGAUAUGUGAUGGGGCAAGGCCAGUAAAAAGGAAAGUAAAACAGGUGAUGGCACAUUUGUGGAGUGGGGGAGUUAAACUGCCUUUUUGAACCUUCGUCACUUAAAGUUGAACUGAGACAUCACAGGUGAAAUGCAAUCAAUCAGAUAAAGAAAUAAAGAUUGGCAUGCUAUUGGAAAGGGGGAAAGACACCCCUAAGAUGAGAAAGGAACCAGCACUUUAACUCUGGGAGAAGAUUACGACCUGAGAAUUUGGUUAGCCAUGUUGCUGGGAAUCUGUGAUAAGGAUUUUACCUCGAAUCAAG